AACGUAGGAGACGAACGUUAUCCGGAGUUACUGGGCGUAAAGGGCGUGUAGGCGGUUUGUUAAGUCUGGCGUGAAAGCUCUCGGCUAAACCGGGAGAGGUCGUUGGAUACUGGCGAACUCGAGGAUGGUAGAGGCGUGUGGAAUUCCGGGUGUAGUGGCGAAAUGCGUAGAGAUCCGGAGGAACACCAGUGGCGAAGGCGACACGCUGGGCCAUACCUGACGCUAAAGCGCGACAGCAUGGGGAGCAAACGGG
rnacentral:rRNA from 1 species